GUUGUUUUAGUUUAAAAUAAAAAAAUAAGUAAUUUGUAAUUAUUAGAUAUGGAUAACU
rnacentral:tRNA from 1 species